ensembl:lncRNA
GUAGAGGUACCCAGUGUCACGGCUUCAGACCACCACCAGGGGGAGUUAGAGGUACCCAGCAUUACGGCUUCAUUGCUCCAGACCACCACCAGGGGGAGUUAGAGGUACCCAGCUUACGGCUUCAUUGCUCCAGACCACCACCAGGGGGAGUUAGAGGUACCCAGUGUCACGGCUUCAUUGUUCCAGACCACCACCAGGGGGAGGUAGAGGUACCCAGUGUCACGGCUUCAUUGCUCCAGACCACCACAAGGGGGAGUUAGAGGUACCCAGUGUAACGGCUCCAGACCACCACCAGGGGGAGUUAGAGGUACCCAGUGUCACGGCUUCAUUGCUUCAGACCACCACCAGGGGAGUUAGAGGUACCCAGUGUCAUGGCUCCAGACCACCACCAGGGGGAGUUAGAGGUACCCAGUUUCACA